UGAGUUUCUCGGAAGGUCGCGUCCCGCACCUUUUUUGAAAAAGGUGCGGGAUGAGGAAAGUCCGGGCUCCACAGGACGGGAUGCUGGAUAACGUCCAGGCAGAGCGAUCUGACGGAUCAGUGCCACAGAAAAUAUACCGCCUCAGCUAAAGAGAGGUGCCCGUCGCGCCUCAGGCGCUUCAGGGCCCCAGCGCUCUGCGCUGGGGUAAGGGUGAAAAGGCGAGGUAAGAGCUCACCGCGGUCCUGGUGACAGGGCUGGCAGGGUAAACCCCAUCCGGAGCAAGACCAAAUAGGCCUCGUCUUUCUUGAUUUUUUUCAAGAAGUCAGCUGGUUCCGGCGGGCAUUUUAAGCCUUUUUGGAAUUCCAAGGGUUUGAAAGGGCGGGGUGGGUUGGUUGCUUGAGUCCCUUGGUAACAGGGGGCCUAGAGAAAUGACCUUCUCCUCCUCGUAUGAGGGGCAGACAGAACCCGGCUUAUAGAGAGACUCACAUU
rnacentral:RNase_P_RNA from 5 species